AGUAACACGUGGGUAACCUGCCCUUAAAUCGGGGAUAACUUCGCGAAAGUGUUGCUGAUACCGGAUAUUGUUCCUAGGACUAUGGUUCUUGGAAUAAAAGGUGACCUCUUCAUGAAAGUUGCCGUUUAUAGAGGGGCCCGCGUACCAUUAGCUAGUUGGCAGGGUAAUGGCCUACCAAGGCUACGAUGGUUAGCUGGUCUGAGAGGAUGAUCAGCCACACUGGAACUGAAACACGGUCCAG
rnacentral:rRNA from 1 species